ACCAAGUUCGUGCUGAAGUCC
rnacentral:siRNA from 1 species